CGAACGCUGGCGGCGUGCCUAAUAUAUGCAAGUAGACCGCUGAAGAGAGGAGCUUGCUCUUCUUGGAUGAGUUGCGUACGGGUGAGUAACGCGUAGGUAACCUGCCUUGUAGCGGGGGAUAACUAUUGGAAACGAUAGCUAAUACCGCAUAACAAUGGAUGACACAUGUCAUUUAUUUGAAAGGGGCAAUUGCUCCACUACAAGAUGGACCUGCGUUGUAUUAGCUAGUAGGUGAGGUAAUGGCUCACCUAGGCGACGAUACAUAGCCGACCUGAGAGGGUGAUCGGCCACACUGGGACUGAGACACGGCCCAGACUCCUACGGGAGGCAGCAGUAGGGAAUCUUCGGCAAUGGGGGCAACCCUGACCGAGCAACGCCGCGUGAGUGAAGAAGGUUUUCGGAUCGUAAAGCUCUGUUGUAAGUCAAGAACGGGUGUGAGAGUGGAAAGUUCACACUGUGACGGUAGCUUACCAGAAAGGGACGGCUAACUACGUG
rnacentral:rRNA from 1 species